GGGGUCAUCACCAUGAGUCCCAUUUUUCGUGAGGAACAUUUCCUCUACUUCCUCUUGUAUAGUACCUAAGUACCUUUCAGGAGGAUGAAAAAUCUUAGUCGAUCUAUGAGGUGGAAGAGGUUGUGUUAGGACUGGUUCUAAUUGAUUUGGUUCCUCAGGUUCUUUAGCUCAUUGCUCUUGGGAGACAUUCUCCUUGAGCUUAAUUAUUUUUCCGAUGCCACCAUCUUGAAUAAACUAUUUUUCAAGAAAAAUAACAU
rnacentral:lncRNA from 1 species